rnacentral:rRNA from 1 species
CAGCCGCCGCGGUAAUGCGUAGGGUGCAAGCGUUAAUCGGAAUUACUGGGCGUAAAGCGUGCGUAGGUGGUGGUUUAAGUCCGUUGUGAAAGCCCUGGGCUCAACCUGGGAAUUGCAGUGGAUACUGGGUCACUAGAGUGUGGUAGAGGAUAGUGGAAUUUCCGGUGUAGCAGUGAAAUGCGUAGAGAUCGGAAGGAACAUCUGUGGCGAAGGCGACUAUCUGGGCCAACACUGACACUGAGGCACGAAAGCGUGGGGAGCAAACAGGAUUAGAUACCCCUGUAGUCCCUGUCUCUUAUAC